rnacentral:rRNA from 1 species
UCGAGAAUCAUUCGCAAUGGGCGAAAGCCUGACGGUGCGACGCCGCGUGGAGGAUGAAGGCCCUAGGGUCGUAAACUCCUGUCAUCAGGGAGUAAUGGCUCAUAUAGUAACUGAUAUGGGUCUUGAUAGUACCUGAAGAGGAAGGGACGGCAAACUUCGUGCCAGCAGCCGCGGUAAUACGAAGGUCCCAAGCGUUGUUCGGAUUUACUGGGCGUAAAGAGUCUGUAGGCGGUGGGGUAAGUCAGAUGUGAAAUCCCGGGGCUCAACCCCGGAACUGCAUCCGAUACUGCCUUACUUGAGGGUCGGAGGGGAGUCUGGAAUUCUCGGUGUAGCAGUGAAAUGCGUAGAUAUCGAGAGGAACACUAGUGGCGAAGGCGAGACUCUGGACGACAACUGACGCUGAGAGACGAAGGCCAGGGGAGCGAAAAGGAUUAGAUACCCCAGUAGUCCCUGAGCGGGCUGGCAAGGCGCAU